UGGGGGAUAUUGCACAAUGGGCUAAAGCCUGAUGCAGCGACGCCGCGUGGGGGAUGAAGGCCUUCGGGUUGUAAACUUCUUUUGCUCUGAACAAGGCGCACCAUGGGGUGUGUUGAGUGUAGGGGUUGAUUAGCGCCGGCUAACUACGUGCCAGCAGCCGCGGUAAUACGUAGGGCGCGAGCGUUGUCCGGAAUUAUUGGGCGUAAAGGGCUUGUAGGUGGCUGGUUGCGUCUGUCGUGAAAGCUCAUGGCUUAACUGUGGGUUUGCGGUGGGUACGGGCUGGCUUGAGUGCAGUAGGGGAGGCUGGAAUUCCUGGUGUAGCGGUGGAAUGCGCAGAUAUCAGGAGGAAUGCCGGUGGCGAAGGCGGGUCUCUGGGCUGUUACUGACACUGAGGAGCGAAAGCAUGGGGAGCGAACAGG
rnacentral:rRNA from 1 species